GACGAACGCUGGCGGCGUGCCUAAUACAUGCAAGUCGUACGCUUCUUUUUCCACCGGAGCUUGCUCCACCGGAAAAAGAGGAGUGGCGAACGGGUGGGUAACACGUGGGUAACCUGCCCAUCAGAAGGGGAUAACACUUGGAAACAGGUGCUAAUACCGUAUAACAAUCGAAACCGCAUGGUUUUGAUUUGAAAGGCGCUUUCGGGUGUCGCUGAUGGAUGGACCCGCGGUGCAUUAGCUAGUUGGUGAGGUAACGGCUCACCAAGGCCACGAUGCAGAGCCGACCUGAGAGGGUGAUCGGCCACAUUGGGACUGAGACACGGCCCAAACUCCUACGGGAGGCAGCAGCAGGGAAUCUUCGGCAAUGGACGAAAGUCUGACCGAGCAACGCCGCGUGAGUGAAGAAGGUUUUCGGAUCGUAAAACUCUGUUGUUAGAGAAGAACAAGGAUGAGAGUAACUGUUCAUCCCUUGACGGUAUCUAACCAGAAAGCCACGGCUAACUACGUGCCAGCAGCCGCCGUAA
rnacentral:rRNA from 1 species